rnacentral:rRNA from 1 species
GAUGAACGCUAGCGGCAGGCUUAACACAUGCAAGUCGAGGGGUAUAGUUCUUCGGAGCUAGAGACCGGCGCACGGGUGCGUAACGCGUAUGCAAUCUACCUUUUGCAGAGGGAUAGCCCAGAGAAAUUUGGAUUAAUACCCCAUGGUAUGUGAGAAUGGCAUCAUUUUCACAUUAAAGUCACAACGGCAAAAGAUGAGCAUGCGUCCCAUUAGCUAGUUGGUAAGGUAACGGCUUACCAAGGAAACGAUGGGUAGGGGUCCUGAGAGGGAGAUCCCCCACACUGGUACUGAGACACGGACCAGACUCCUACGGGAGGCAGCAGUGAGGAAUAUUGGACAAUGGGCGCAAGCCUGAUCCAGCCAUGCCGCGUGCAGGAUGACGGUCCUAUGGAUUGUAAACUGCUUUUGUACAGGAAGAAACGCUGGUUCGUGAACCAGCUUGACGGUACUGUAAGAAUAAGGAUCGGCUAACUCCGUGCCAGCCGCCGCGGUAAAAC